AAAAAUCAACAAACAAAAAUUGGGCUGCAGUAGUCCUCUGAUUGUCACGACACAUCCUUAGAACAAACUAUAUUUUGAUAAAUAUGACUAAUUGAGGGAAAUAGUAACUGAGGGGUACUGGGCAGACAGAU
rnacentral:snoRNA from 1 species